rnacentral:rRNA from 1 species
UGGAUCCAGACUUUGAUCCUGGCUCAGGAUGAACGCUAGCUACAGGCUUAACACAUGCAAGUCGAGGGGAAACGAUAGAGAAAGCUUGCUUUUUCUAGGCGUCGACCGGCGCACGGGUGAGUAACGCGUAUCCAACCUGCCCACCACUUGGGGAUAACCUUGCGAAAGUAAGACUAAUACCCAAUGAUAUCUCUAGAAGACAUCUGAAGGAGAUUAAAGAUUCAUCGGUGAUGGAUGGGGAUGCGUCUGAUUAGCUUGUUGGCGGGGUAACGGCCCACCAAGGCUACGAUCAGUAGGGGUUCUGAGAGGAAGGUCCCCCACAUUGGAACUGAGACACGGUCCAAACUCCUACGGGAGGCAGCAGUGAGGAAUAUUGGUCAAUGGGCGAGAGCCUGAACCAGCCAAGUAGCGUGCAGGAUGACGGCCCUAUGGGUUGUAAACUGCUUUUAUAAGGGAAUAAAGUGAGCCUCGUGAGGCUUUUUGCAUGUACCUUAUGGAUAAGGACCGGCUAAUUCCGUGCCAGCAGCCGCGGUAAUACGGAAGGUCCGGGCGUUAUCCGGAUUUAUUGGGUUUAAAGGGAGCGUAGGCCGGAGAUUAAGCGUGUUGUGAAAUGUAGAUGCUCAACAUCUGCACUGCAGCGCGAACUGGUUUCCUUGAGUACGCACAAAGUGGGCGGAAUUCGUGGUGUAGCGGUGAAAUGCUUAGAUAUCACGAAGAACUCCGAUUGCGAAGGCAGCUCACUGGAGCGCAACUGACGCUGAAGCUCGAAAGUGCGGGUAUCGAACAGGAUUAGAUACCCUGGUAGUCCGCACGGUAAACGAUGGAUGCCCGCUGUUGGUCUGAAUAGGUCAGCGGCCAAGCGAAAGCAUUAAGCAUCCCACCUGGGGAGUACGCCGGCAACGGUGCAACUCAAAGGAAUUGACGGA